rnacentral:rRNA from 1 species
GAGUUUGAUCCUGGCUCAGGACGAACGCUGGCGGCGUGCCUAAUACAUGCAAGUCGAGCGGACCAAUGGAGAGCUUGCUCUCCUGCGGUCAGCGGCGGACGGGUGAGUAACACGUAGGCAACCUGCCUGUACGACCGGGAUAACUCCGGGAAACCGGAGCUAAUACCGGAUAGGAUUUCAGACCGCAUGGUUUGGAAUGGAAAGACCCUGUGUCACGUACAGAUGGGCCUGCGGCGCAUUAGCUAGUUGGUGGGGUAACGGCCUACCAAGGCGACGAUGCGUAGCCGACCUGAGAGGGUGAACGGCCACACUGGGACUGAGACACGGCCCAGACUCCUACGGGAGGCAGCAGUAGGGAAUCUUCCGCAAUGGACGAAAGUCUGACGGAGCAACGCCGCGUGAACGAAGAAGGUUUUCGGAUCGUAAAGUUCUGUUGUUAGGGAAGAACCGCCGGGAUAACCUCCCGGUCUGACGGUACCUAACGAGAAAGCCCCGGCUACUACGUGCCAGCAGCCGCGGUAAUACGUAGGGGGCAAGCGUUGUCCGGAAUUAUUGGGCGUAAAGCGCGCGCAGGCGGCUUCUUAAGUCAGGUGUGAAAGCCCACGGCUCAACCGUGGAGGGCCACUUGAAACUGGGAGGCUUGAGUGCAGGAGAGGAGAGCGGAAUUCCACGUGUAGCGGUGAAAUGCGUAGAGAUGUGGAGGAACACCUGUGGCGAAGGCGGCUCUCUGGCCUGUAACUGACGCUGAGGCGCGAAAGCGUGGGGAGCGAACAGGAUUAGAUACCCUGGUAGUCCACGCCGUAAACGAUGAGUGCUAGGGUGUUGGGGGUCUCCAAACCUCAGUGCCGCAGCUAACGCAAUAAGCACUCCGCCUGGGGAGUACGGCCCGCAGGCUGAAACUCAAAGGAAUUGACGGA